AGACCCGUAUUUUUGAGACUAUAUUUUUUCUUUUGCAAUCGUACGGCUCGUUGAGAUAGACGGUGCGGAUAUUCGGUGUGACAUCUUCGUGGGAGGAUAUAACGGUAAUUGUGCGAGAGGUGCACAUGUGUGUGUGGGGGGUGGGAGCAUGGGAUUAAUCCCCAUGCCAAUAAUUUCCCCAGGAGAAUCAUUUCUCCCAUUUUUUUUUCUCUCUUUUUCUCUCUCGGCUAUCUCUCUCUCCUCCUCUCCUCCGAAAAACUCCCUCUUCUCUUCUCUCUUCGAUUUCAUCUACUUAGGGUGUGAUUCCGGACAAGGCCAGAGAAUUAAAGUUGUUAUACGGAGCACGAGCUUUCCAAAUAUCCAAGAAAAUUCAUGAUCGGACCUCGUUAGAGCUUGGUUGACUCGGUCAAAGGCUCGGAUUUUGCUCAAAACCCAUGAGGUUCAUUGCAGGUCAUGGUCAUGGUCAUGGAGUACUUGGAGUGCAUGCUGACAUUAUCGAUUAAAGCUAUUUUGGAGAGCACUUUAUUUUUCUUGUUUAACAAACGACUUUGUUAUGAAAUUCCUACUUUGAAAGAUUGUAUUUGUAGACCAAUUUAUGGAAUCGGAAACUGUAUUGUAUUUUGGGGUAUUGUACGUACGAUUGUGAGGACUUUGUAUUUCAAAUGGUAUUGUUAAUUUAUGUUGAAAAUCGAGGGCGUGACAACUUGGUAUCAAAGCAUUAGGUUUGAAUACCUAGAGACCGUGGGGAGACUUAGUCUCAGGGGUUCAAAAAAAAAAAAAAGUCAUUGCAUAUUUUUAACAAAACAUGAGUGUGCUUGCCUGACUGAUGUGUGUUCAUUGAUGUGGCAUUGCAUCUGUGUUUAUGCGAAUUGGUGGAAUGUGGUUGACUCAUGUAAAAAAAGAAAAAGAAGAAGAAGAAGAGAAGUUUGACCUCUUUGUAGUGACUACGGUUGCGAAGUUACUGUUAUUAGUUUUGAUCUUGAGCCGUUUGUGGUAAGGUAUCCUUUCAGAUGAGAUGUUAGACAAAAAAAAAAAUUUUGAAAAGUCGAGAUUGUUGUAGUGGUUAUGCGUAGUGGCGAGGUUGAAAUGUGAAAGAUGAUAUCCGUUAGUAUGUAAAAGAAGUGUUGUAUUGUUAACAAGGUUUGUGAGCUAAAUACUUGAUGCGUUUUAUUUGAAUUGUGUAGAUUAUGUGUUAAGUUUAAAUACCUUAAGUAAUUUUCAUGUGAUGCGAGGUGUAUCAUAGCUAAAGGAUUGAACUAGUGAGUGUCUUGAAUGUAUGAAGAGAUGAUGUCUUGUUGUGGUAAUGAUUGUGUUUAUUAUUGUUAUGGUAGUUAUAGGGGUAGUGGUUUUAAGAAUAGGUAAGACAGGUGGAACCCUUGUAAGUAUCUGAGAUUGACUUAGGAAGAUGAGAGUUGUAGGUAGGGUGUUUAGAAACAGUAUGUGUCUUCUGGACACCCAGGCGACUACCGAAGAGAUCCAGUUGGAAGAGGCGCUUGAUCACCGCUCCUUCUAGAUGGAAGUCUCGGGAAGUCAAUCGGAUACUAGGUUUAUAUUAAGGGGUAAGAUCUCUAGGCUUGAGGCAGAUAACUAUAUAUAGAAAUUUCGUAGAAAAAUGAUGUGCUGUGGUGUUGUCGUAGUCAUUGUGGUGAUUGCCGUAGCGGUAGUGUUAUGAGGGGUCGAUAGGAGAAUAUUAGUUGUGUUAUUCGGAGAUAGGGAAAAUAAGACACAAGGAGAAAGAUAGUGAUGUGAUUUAAGUCAAGUGGUCAAUGUAAGGCAAA